GACGAACGCUGGCGGCGUGCUUAACACAUGCAAGUCGAACGGUGAAGCGCCUUCCUUUUUGGUGGGUGUGGAUGAGUGGCGAACGGGUGAGUAACACGUGAGUAACCUGCCCCCUUCUUCUGGAUAACCGCAUGAAAGUGUGGCUAAUACGGGAUAUUCUGGGUCUGUCGCAUGAUGGGUCUGGGAAAGAUAUUGUUUCGGUGGGGGAUGGGCUCGCGGCCUAUCAGCUUGUUGGUGGGGUGAUGGCCUACCAAGGCGGUGACGGGUAGCCGGCCUGAGAGGGUGGACGGUCACACUGGGACUGAGACACGGCCCAGACUCCUACGGGAGGCAGCAGUGGGGAAUAUUGCACAAUGGGCGCAAGCCUGAAGCAGCGACGCCGCGUGAGGGAUGGAGGCCUUCGGGUUGUGAACCUCUUUCGCCAGUGAAGCAGGCCUGCCUCGUUUGUGGGUGGGUUGACGGUAGCUGGAGAAGAAGCGCCGGCUAACUACGUG
rnacentral:rRNA from 1 species